rnacentral:snoRNA from 1 species
CACAUGAUGCCGCUUCUUUCCCCUGACUGUCCUGACGGCUUCAGAAACCAUCUAUCCCACUGAUC